GGCCCUGCCCCUCGAGGGCCAGCCUCUCCCUCGGGAGCGUGGGUUUUUCCUGUUUGAUCCUGGCUUAACUUGAACAUCUCUGGCAUUGGAGCUGCCCUCUGGAGUAGCCCAGAAGUUGGCACUCACCUCACCUUUUGCUGCAUUUCCAAGAGAUCAGCCUUUGGACUUCCUGGAAAGUGGUAGAACCACUGUCCUAUGAAACAAAGUGCUUCUGUGCUGAAAUGGAGUAAGUUCCCUGCAGCCUCUGGCAAGCUCAGGAGCCAAAGCUCAGCCAGCCCGAAGGAGCCAGGAUUAGAGCCUGCAUGGAUGCAACAGUCACGCUUCUCUCUAUUACGUGUCUUGCAACUUGGAGUCACAUGAUCUCAGCAUCUGAUCCACCCUGGGCUCAGAACCUCCCAGAACCUCCCAGAAUCGAGGCUCACGGCAGAGGUUCUGCACUCACCAAGGACGCGGGGGGACCAUGUCUGUGCUCAUGUGGAUCCCCGCUGCUGGGCAGAGCACACCACACAUCCAGACUCAACAAAAUACAUGGAGUCAAAGGUCAGGUGACUGAAUCAAUGAGUAUGUUACACACCAAGAAAGACCCCUCCUCUCUGCACCCCGGGGAGCAGCCCCAGAAGCCUGGUCUCCUCCAGGAUGAAAAUGCAAACGCAGGUGCCUGGGGGCUCCCAGAGCCUUUGGCUUCACGGUUCCCUCCCGGCCCUGCCUGGAGCUUCAUGUGCCUCCCCUUUUGCUUAAUGAGAGCCGCUGUCUAAGAGUUAAGGGUUUUCUGGGUGACGUUUAACAAUAAUAAAGGUGACUGCUUAUCUAAGGAAUC
rnacentral:lncRNA from 1 species